UACGUAGGGUCCAAGCGUUGUUCGGAAUUACUGGGCGUAAAGCGUGCGCAGGCGGUUUCGCAAGUCAGAUGUGAAAUCCCCGGGCUUAACCUGGGAACUGCAUUUGAAACUAUGGAGCUAGAGUGUGUCAGAGGGGGGUAGAAUUCCACGUGUAGCAGUGAAAUGCGUAGAGAUGUGGAGGAAUACCGAUGGCGAAGGCAGCCCCCUGGGAUAACACUGACGCUCAUGCACGAAAGCGUGGGGAGCAAACAGG
rnacentral:rRNA from 1 species